rnacentral:rRNA from 1 species
UACGUAGGCAGCGAGCGUUGUUCGGAAUUACUGGGCGUAAAGAGUGUGUAGGCGGUGCUCUAAGUUCGGUGUGAAAUCUCCUGCUUAACUGGGAGGGUGCGCCGGAAACUGGAGUGCUUGAGCGUGGGAGAGGAAAGCGGAAUUCCUGGUGUAGCGGUGAAAUGCGUAGAUAUCAGGAGGAACACCUGUGGUGUAGACGCUUUCUGGACCAUAGCUGACGCUGAGACACGAAAGCGUGGGUAGCAAACAGG